CCUGCUGGGGGGCGGGCAACGCGCCGUCCGCUCCGACCCGAUCCGGUCGGCCCCGGGGGGGGUCGGCCCGGUCCGGUCUGCCCCGGGGGGACUCGGCGUGGCUCUCUGCGGGCUUGGGGUCUCUGACAGCAGGGGGACAGAAAGCUCGUUUAUCCAUGGCACUCGAGCCGUCCAAUGUGUCUUCGCUCUCCGGACUCCCGACAGUCCCAGUCGCCGUGUGUUGGGCCGCUUCCCCUGUUCCCAUUCCCAGUCUGUCCCGGCUCAUUGCGUCACUUCUCUCCCAGUUGACCCAUACGGGGAGGCUGUUUCUUAAUGGUUAAUAUGGAGCAGCACUGGUCUACGUUAACGUUAACGAUGUCUACUCAUAGCCCGGACCUUUAUAGAUCUACAAUCUUAACUUUAGAUAUGAUGACCAGAGGACGCUUCCCGGGACAUUUCACGAUGCGCGCCAAAGUUUGCCUUUGAAGGCUUCAGAUCAAAGGACCGCCGUCCGUCCUGUUUACAAAAUAAAAGUUUCCGAACUGCAAAUUCUUGUCUUCGCUGGGAGUCCUUCGGAGCGAAGUAUCGGACGAAUUAACGGAGAACGGUUUCCAGUUUCAGAGUUAAAAGAAACGUUCUGCGUGGAAUCUCCAUCCCGCCCUCGUCCUCAGUGUACCUCGUCCUCCUCCUGCUCCUCCGUGUACCUCCUCCUCUUCCUCCUGCUCCUCCUGCCUCUCCCGAUCCUCCUCCUCCGUCUGCUCCUCCGUGGAGCUCCUUGGUGAGACCGUCUCGGUAAACGGGGGCCAACGGCAAAAAACAACGAACAAUAAAGCCAAUCGACGCGAACAGUCAGUUCUGUUUCCGGCGGAGAACGGGUCAGCGAACCUUGUGGCUGUCCGGUUACCGUAAUGGUGUCGAUCCCGGACUACAGGGGUAUGAGGAGCCGAGGAGCACGAUGGGCUGGCCUGCUAGAGGAGGUCGAGGAUGAACCGAUGGAUGGUUGGACCUGUGGACGGUUGGAGCGGUGGACGGUUGGUCCUGUGGACGGUUGAACGGUGGACGGUUGGUUCUGUGGACGGUUGGAGCGGUGGACGGUGGGGCCUGUGGACGGUUGGACCGGUGGACGGUUGGUUCUGUGGACGGUUGGAGCGGUGGACGGUUGGGCCUGUGGAUGGUUGGACCGGUGGACGGUUGGGCCUGUGGACGAUUUUACCUUUGGACCGUUGGACCGGUGGACGAUUUUACCUGUGGACCGUUGGACCGGUGGACCGUUGGACCUGAGGGGUGUAUGUAGGGCCAGUCUGGGCACACGGCAGCCUGGGAUGGCCUCAGGCCCCUGAAGGAGGGCAGGAGAGCAGCUGGAUCAGAAGUUUGGCAGCCAUUUGUCUUUGCCUGUAGCAGUUUUUUGAGCUAUUCUUGAGGUGGGAGUCUAGUUACGUGUCCCAGGUGUUGACUUCCCUGGAAGGGGGAGGAGCCUAAUUUUGUCCGGAGUGAAGCUUCAGUUGGUUUGACGGAUGUAAACUAAGCUGUAGAAAGAUGUGCUUGUGAGGUUGUGUUGUAGGGGAGGCUCCUGAUUAAGACACACAGCUUUCUGUUACACUGUGAGGCCACCUGGGAUAAAGACAAAUAUAAGGUUGGCUCAACUAUCAUUUAGUUUGUCUACAUAUGUGAGACACACACUACUCUCCCAUUAGAGCAGUCAUCCCCCCC
ensembl:lncRNA